rnacentral:lncRNA from 1 species
UCCUGCUGAGGUCAGCUUUGCUUUUUAUCCUUUCAAGGUCAAUGAAAUAAAAUACCUGUCAAGUGGGAUCAAUGUAAUUAACUAGUCCCUCUCUUGAAGUUUGAUGGUCAUGUGCCAAUAUUAGAAAGAAUAUUGGUUGUCUACAAAGACAGGUGUAAGAUUUUCAGUUUAUAGAAAACAGGUCAUAAGUUUCUGGAGGACAUCAGCAAUGCAAGAAGUGAAAUGACUAAAUCCAAAAUUAAAACAUGAUGGCUUUCAUAGUUGAAUUAAUUGGAAAUAAUGAUUAAAAAAAAAUUAACCCUUUUUCUACCCCAAGAUAAACUUUUAUAUGUUUAUCCUAAAAACCUCUCAUUUUUUUUUCAUUUUUGUUUUCUCCCUCUCAUUUGCAUAUUCCUUGCCUUUCUCCACUUCCUCAGUUUCUUACUUCCCUCUUUAUUCCUUUCCUCUCUUAGAUAUUUGUUUGAAAUAUCUCUAUAAGAGUUUCACUGAAACCAUACAUUACACAACAUACACCAGGUGCAUCAAUUGAAUUGUUUGUUUAAACCUGGUUUGAAACAAUGACUUGUUCUUUCAAAUCAAUGUUGAAUCCUGCUACGAGAAGUGACCGUUACAGGAAGACAGCAUACUUUGUUCCUGUAACAGGUUGCCCAGUGUUUGUGUAGCAAGGUUAUCUCUCUUGUUUAAGGUCUUGGCUUGUUUAACUUUCUCUAGCCUUUCUCUCUUUUAUGCUCCCUCACUCCUUCCCUUCUGUCUCAUCCUUUGUGCUGAUUCAUUUAACAAUGCCAGAAAUUCCUAGAUACACUCUUCUACACAAUUACCUUGUUCUCAAAAGAUAUUUACCAGAAGAAAAUAUACUUUAAGCAAUAGGGUACAAAAUGUUCCCUUCUGUAAUUUUUCUUUUGGAAAGGUCUUUUAAAAUCGGAUUAAAACUGAUAAAAGUAUGGAAAUUUUGAAGAAAUAUUGGGAAAUUAUAUUUUUAGCCAUUCUCUGUUAAAUAUUUCUUGAUUUUUUACAAUAUUAUCUUCCAGUUUUAAUCAUUUAUUAAUUUUGCUGUUAUCAAGAUUAUGCAAUAUUUUUCUGGUUAUUGAUUUUAACCAGUAAGAUAUCUAAAAUAUUGAUUGCUUCAGAUACUUGUCUAUCACUUAUGUAUGUAAAUAUGUGUAAUUUAAAUUAUGCAUGAAAAUGUGCAUAUAGACAAAAAGAGACAAACAUAUAUAGAUAAACUAGUAUCCGAAGCGAUCACUAUCAAAUAGCAGGACACAAUGAUUUUGUCUCUAUGAGAAGAAAUACUACUAAUUACAAAGUAUUUUCUUCUUACUUUGGUUGCUAUGGUUUCAGUUAAACUUCAUAUUUUGUCCAGAGAGGUUCCUAGAUUAAACUAUCUGUGUGUCCUCUAUGAUAGUUUAAUCUUCUCAGAUCAAGGGGUUAAUUGAAUUAUAUAUGAAAUAACCUUUCGUUCAAUUUCUUCAUAUAUGUGUGUAUAUAUAAAGGUAUAGUUAUGUGCUUAGUUAGAAACAAGUGUACAUAGAUAAUCAGACAUGUGUGCACAAACAUUUAAAUGUACAACCCACGUACGCAUUAAAUAAGAUAGCACUUAACUUCAUCACAAUGUUUGAAUAUUGCCUUAUUUAUUGAGUGCUUAUUAUAUAUCUAUGAAAACACACACACAUAUCUAUAAGCAUAUAUCUCCAUUCACACAUUCCAGUAUGAACUCACAUGCAACCACAUACUCAGAAACAGAGACAUAAUGCAACCCAUUAUAGGUUGAUGUUGUCAAUAGAACCAAUUUGUUGCAUUCUUAAAUACUAAUAGUGGCACCUUAAGAUGUUUUAAGAAUCCCAGAUGAAUGAAAACUCUUUCAGAAAUUUAUCAGCCAACCUCCAAACAAUGCUGAUAGUUUCCCAUAUUAAUAUGAAGCCUCAACUUCAGAAAGAUUACCAUGUGUUGCCUCAACAUUAAUAUUUUUCCCAAAGAUAUUAAUUAGCAAUGUAAUUGAAGUAUUACCAACUGAAUUGAAAUGACUCCUAGACUAGGCUCAACAAAUCUGCCCCUGUAUUAUAACAGUUGGAUUUUACAUGACAAAGUAGAGUGUAUAGUCAACUGAAUCAACUGCAGUGUAUAACUUGUAUGUAUUUUACUGGUAUCUGAUAUAAUGGACUAGAUCCUACUAAAGAUUCACCUGUUCUUAGUAAUACCAAUUUGUAGGAAAGACAGUGUGAUGAACUAGACCGGAUCCAGUAUAUUACUGGUACUUAUUGUAUUAAUUUUGAAUAGAACAAUAAGAAUAACAGUUUCUUACUUUGGAACAUGGUUGAACUGACUCUCUUCCCUAAUACAUGUCUGUCUUAUAAUAUAGACGCUGGAUAGAUGAAGGGCAAAGUAAACUUCAGUAGGGUUUGAAUUUAGAACUCAGGAUGUAUCUAAAUUUUGUAAAGCAUUUCGUCUGGUGCUCCACCUUUGUAAAUAAUAAUAUCUACAGGCAUUGUUUUGUUUUUGUUUUGAAAUACCUUACAAACAUCAAAAUAGGUUACGUACUCUCCUAAAUUGGGAUUUUUCAAGCUGCUUUUGAAGCAGCUGUGUCACUUAUUUCAAUGAAUAAUUACUGUAGAAUAUUUCCUAUUUAAAAUAUUUAAAUAGGAUGAUGUCUGACAAAAACUUGCAUUAUCACCUACCAGUUGUGUCCUCCUACUCCAAUCUAUAAUGAAAUCCUCAAUUCAAAAAGCAACAACUUUUGAUUAACUUGUAUCAAAAUGUAAAAUAUCUAUCAAUGAAAAACUUAAUUAAAACAAAAAAAAAUAAUUUCUAUAAACUCUACUAAUCAAAUUAUAAUUGACUAAGCUUGCUUCAUUCAUCAAAUUAAUUUUUAUUUUUUUAUUAUCCUAAAAUGAAAUUAAGUUGAGGCUGUUGAAAUCUCACAAUGUAUUUUCUCCCUACAAAGCUUGAAUGCAGUAAAGAAGCUUCCCUUCACACUCCCCUCUCUGUGGGAAUUAGAUAUUAAUGACAGGAAUGUGAUGCAUAAGCAAAUCCAAAGACCUUUCCACUUUUGGUAAUGUGACUGCUUAUUAUAAUUAGAAUUAAUUAUAAUAGUAACAUUCUAAACUGAAAUUGUGACUAACAUUAAAGUCAUCAUCUGUUCUAAUAAAAAUAUUCAUUUUUGUUUUUUUUUUUGGGGGGGGGGGGAAUAUUUUUGUGUGUGUGUGUAUAUAUAUAUAUAUAUAUAAUAUAUAUAUAUAUAUAUGUAUAUAUAAAAUGUUGCAGUUAGAUGUGUGCGUGUGUGUGUGAGUUUUCCUUCAUUAAUUAACUUAAAAUUUUUUAAUUGUAUUUCCUUCAUUUGUCUUUCUGUUAACAAAUACCAU